rnacentral:rRNA from 1 species
GGUUAAGCGACUAAGCGUACACGGUGGAUGCCCUGGCAGUCAGAGGCGAUGAAGGACGUGCUAAUCUGCGAAAAGCGCCGGCGAGGUGAUAUGAACCUUUGACCCGGCGAUGUCCGAAUGGGGAAACCCAGUGCAAUCCGUUGCACUAUCGUUAACUGAAUACAUAGGUUAACGAGGCGAACCGGGGGAACUGAAACAUCUAAGUACCCCGAGGAAAAGAAAUCAACCGAGAUUCCCCCAGUAGCGGCGAGCGAACGGGGAGCAGCCCGGAGUCUGAAUCAGCUUGUGUGUUAGUGGAACGGUCUGGAAAGUCCGACGGUACAGGGUGAUAGUCCCGUACACGAAAGCACACAUGCUGUGAACUCGAAGAGUAGGGCGGGACACGUGGUAUCCUGUCUGAAUAUGGGGGGACCAUCCUCCAAGGCUAAAUACUCCUGACUGACCGAUAGUGAACCAGUACCGUGAGGGAAAGGCGAAAAGAACCCCGGCGAGGGGAGUGAAAAAGAACCUGAAACCGUGUACGUACAAGCAGUGGGAGCCUCUUUAUGGGGUGACUGCGUACCUUUUGUAUAAUGGGUCAGCGACUUAUAUUCUGUAGCAAGGUUAACCGUAUAGGGGAGCCGAAGGGAAACCGAGUCUUAACUGGGCGUUAAGUUGCAGGGUAUAGACCCGAAACCCGGUGAUCUAGCCAUGGGCAGGUUGAAGGUUGGGUAACACUAACUGGAGGACCGAACCGACUAAUGUUGAAAAAUUAGCGGAUGACCUGUGGCUGGGGGUGAAAGGCCAAUCAAACCGGGAGAUAGCUGGUUCUCCCCGAAAGCUAUUUAGGUAGCGCCUCGUGAACUCAUCUUCGGGGGUAGAGCACUGUUUCGGCUAGGGGGCCAUCCCGGCUUACCAACCCGAUGCAAACUACGAAUACCGAAGAAUGUUAUCACGGGAGACACACGGCGGGUGCUAACGUCCGUCGUGAAGAGGGAAACAACCCAGACCGCCAGCUAAGGUCCCAAAGUCAUGGUUAAGUGGGAAACGAUGUGGGAAGGCACAGACAGCCAGGAUGUUGGCUUAGAAGCAGCCAUCAUUUAAAGAAAGCGUAAUAGCUCACUGGUCGAGUCGGCCUGCGCGGAAGAUGUAACGGGGCUAAACCAUGCACCGAAGCUGCGGCAGCGACGCUUAUGCGUUGUUGGGUAGGGGAGCGUUCUGUAAGCCGUUGAAGGUGUCCUGUGAGGGGUGCUGGAGGUAUCAGAAGUGCGAAUGCUGACAUAAGUAACGAUAAAGCGGGUGAAAAGCCCGCUCGCCGGAAGACCAAGGGUUCCUGUCCAACGUUAAUCGGGGCAGGGUGAGUCGACCCCUAAGGCGAGGCCGAAAGGCGUAGUCGAUGGGAAACAGGUUAAUAUUCCUGUACUUGGUGUUACUGCGAAGGGGGGACGGAGAAGGCUAUGUCAGCCGGGCGACGGUUGUCCCGGUUUAAGCAUGUAGGCGGAGGUUCCAGGUAAAUCCGGUACCUUAUNNNNNNNNNNNNNNNNNNNNNNNNNNNNNNNNNNNNNNNNNNNNNNNNNNNNNNNNNNNNNNNNNNNNNNNNNNNNNNNNNNNNNNNNNNNNNNNNNGUUAACGCUGAGGUGUGAUGACGAGGCACUACGGUGCUGAAGUGAUAAAUGCCCUGCUUCCAGGAAAAGCCUCUAAGCAUCAGGUAACACGAAAUCGUACCCCAAACCGACACAGGUGGUCAGGUAGAGAAUACCAAGGCGCUUGAGAGAACUCGGGUGAAGGAACUAGGCAAAAUGGUGCCGUAACUUCGGGAGAAGGCACGCUGAUGUGUAGGUGAAGUCCCUGCGGACGGAGCUGAAAUCAGUCGAAGAUACCAGCUGGCUGCAACUGUUUAUUAAAAACACAGCACUGUGCAAACACGAAAGUGGACGUAUACGGUGUGACGCCUGCCCGGUGCCGGAAGGUUAAUUGAUGGGGUUAGCGGCAACGCGAAGCUCUUGAUCGAAGCCCCGGUAAACGGCGGCCGUAACUAUAACGGUCCUAAGGUAGCGAAAUUCCUUGUCGGGUAAGUUCCGACCUGCACGAAUGGCGUAAUGAUGGCCAGGCUGUCUCCACCCGAGACUCAGUGAAAUUGAACUCGCUGUGAAGAUGCAGUGUACCCGCGGCAAGACGGAAAGACCCCGUGAACCUUUACUAUAGCUUGACACUGAACACUGGUCCUUGAUGUGUAGGAUAGGUGGGAGGCUUUGAAGCGUGGACGCCAGUCUGCGUGGAGCCAACCUUGAAAUACCACCCUUUAAUGGCUGGUGUUCUAACGUAGACCCGUAAUCCGGGUUGCGGACAGUGUCUGGUGGGUAGUUUGACUGGGGCGGUCUCCUCCCAAAGAGUAACGGAGGAGCACGAAGGUUGGCUAAUCCUGGUCGGACAUCAGGAGGUUAGUGCAAUGGCAUAAGCCAGCUUGACUGCGAGCGUGACGGCGCGAGCAGGUGCGAAAGCAGGUCAUAGUGAUCCGGUGGUUCUGAAUGGAAGGGCCAUCGCUCAACGGAUAAAAGGUACUCCGGGGAUAACAGGCUGAUACCGCCCAAGAGUUCAUAUCGACGGCGGUGUUUGGCACCUCGAUGUCGGCUCAUCACAUCCUGGGGCUGAAGUAGGUCCCAAGGGUAUGGCUGUUCGCCAUUUAAAGUGGUACGCGAGCUGGGUUUAGAACGUCGUGAGACAGUUCGGUCCCUAUCUGCCGUGGGCGCUGGAGAAUUGAGGGGGGCUGCUCCUAGUACGAGAGGACCGGAGUGGACGCAUCACUGGUGUUCGGGUUGUCAUGCCAAUGGCACUGCCCGGUAGCUAAAUGCGGAAGAGAUAAGUGCUGAAAGCAUCUAAGCACGAAACUUGCCCCGAGAUGAGUUCUCCCUGAGACCUUGAGUCUCCUGAAGGAACGUUGAAGACGACGACGUUGAUAGGUCGGGUGUGUAAGCGCAGCGAUGCGUUGAGCUAACCGAUACUAAUGAACCGUGAGGCUUAACCUU